AGAGUAAUUUCUAUGAAAAAUCUCGCUGUAUCGGUGAAGCCUAAACAUUCGGUAUACUUUCGGGUAUACUGGAGAUAUGGUAAUACCGAGGGAACCUGUUUCUGAGACAUCAGAGAUAGGACUCCGUAGAGACUACACGCGAGCG
rnacentral:autocatalytically_spliced_intron from 3 species